rnacentral:rRNA from 1 species
AACGUAGGAGGCGAGCGUUAUCCGGAUUUACUGGGUGUAAAGCGCAUGCAGGCGGUUCGCUAAGUUGGGUGUGAAAGCUCCUGGCUCAACUGGGAGAGGUCGCUCAAGACUGGCGGGCUAGAGGAUGGUAGGGGAAGGCGGAAUUCCGGGUGUAGUGGUGAAAUGCGUAGAUAUCCGGAGGAACACCAGUGGCGAAGGCGGCCUUCUGGACCAUGACUGACGCUCAGAUGCGAAAGCUAGGGGAGCAAACGGG